AGUGAACGCUGGCGGCGUGCCUAAUACAUGCAAGUCGAACGAAGUGGCGCACGGGUGAGUAAUAUAUAGUUAAUCUGCCCUCCACUGAGGAACAACAGUUGGAAACAGCUGCAAAUACCUCAUAGUGUAGGAUGAGACGAUAUCGUAUCAGCUAGUUGGUAAGGUAAUGGCUUACCAAGGGUAUGACGCGUAACAGGUCUGAGAGGAUGAUCAGCCAACUUGGAACUGAGGCACGGGUCAAAAUCAUUCGGGAAGGAGCAGUAAGGAAAAGUGCGCAAGGGGGGUAUACCAGGCGGAGCAACGGGGCGUGGAGGACUUCAAGUGGCGGAGCGUAAACUCAUUUUAUCAGGAAAGCGGUACCUGAUGAAUAAGCACCGGCUAACUCCGUGCCAGCAGCCGCGGUAAUAC
rnacentral:rRNA from 1 species